rnacentral:rRNA from 1 species
GAUGAACGCUGGCGGCGUGCCUAAUACAUGCAAGUCGAGCGAACGGACGAGAAGCUUGCUUCUCUGAUGUUAGCGGCGGACGGGUGAGUAACACGUGGAGAACCUACCUAUAAGACUGGGAUAACUUCGGGAAACCGGAGCUAAUACCGCAUAAUAUCUUGAAACGCAUGGUUCAAGAGUGAAAGACGGUAUUGCUGUCACUUAUAGAUAUCUCCGCGCUGCUUUAGCUAGUUGGGAGGGUAACGGCUUACCAAGGGAAGGAAGAAAGGCCGACCUGAAGGGGUGACCGCCACCACUGGAACGGGGCCCCGGCCCAGCUCCCUCCGGGGGCAACCAGUAGGGAUUCUCGCGCAAUGGGGGAAGGCCUGACGGAGCACCGCCGCGUGAGUGAUGAAGGUCUUCGGAUCGUAAAACUCUUUUAUUGGGGAAGAACAUAUGUGUAAUUAACUGCGCACAUCUUGACGGUACCUAAUCAGAAAGCCACGGCUAACUACGUG